GGCUAAAUACCUUUUUAACAAAUGAAAAUGAAGUAUAUUUCCCUUACAGUGACGUUGAAAAAAAGUAGCAAUGAUCGUCUUUUAUUUCAUACUUAGGCGGUGACACAACGUUUGCGUAAGAAGUCAUCGUCGGGUAAAGCAUUCCAUAAGUGACCCCUUGCAAUAUUUCUAUGGGCAACACCCACCAAGCGUUCGUCAAGAACGAGUACAAUAUGAAGCGGACGCCAAAUGCGAAGAGCACCAAACUCAUCAUGUUUACGUGCCCCAAUUUUCUUAAGAUAUAACCUGUCAGUUUGACGUUAUGGAAAUUGAAGCGAUCGGAAUAUUUUAAGACCUGUCAAAUUAAAAUGUAUACAGCAUAUUUUACAAAUGUCAUAGAAAAGUUAAUUUAGAGCCUGGACUUUACGCAUUGCAAGUAGCGUAUAAGCAGUUCGACUCGACUCAAUUAGUUGUACUAACAUACCAUAGUUUGAACUAUCAUAUUCUAAUAUUUAAUUUUACUGCAAACGCCAUUACCGUCCAUGAACGGAUUAAUUCAUAUAAUUUACUUCCUACAUAGGAGACAAAAAUUCACGUGACUAGGCUCCAAUGGCGUCCAUAUAACUCGAUUC